AUGAACGCUGGCGGCGUGCCUAAUACAUGCAAGUCGAGCGAACGGACGAGAAGCUUGCUUCUCUGAUGUUAGCGGCGGACGGGUGAGUAACACGUGGAUAACCUACCUAUAAGACUGGGAUAACUUCGGGAAACCGGAGCUAAUACCGGAUAAUAUUUUGAACCGCAUGGUUCAAAAGUGAAAGACGGUCUUGCUGUCACUUAUAGAUGGAUCCGCGCUGCAUUAGCUAGUUGGUAAGGUAACGGCUUACCAAGGCAACGAUGCAUAGCCGACCUGAGAGGGUGAUCGGCCACACUGGAACUGAGACACGGUCCAGACUCCUACGGGAGGCAGCAGUCGGGAAUCUUCCGCAAUGGGCGAAAGCCUGACGGAGCAACGCCGCGUGAGUGAUGAAGGUCUUCGGAUCGUAAAACUCUGUUAUUAGGGAAGAACAUAUGUGUAAGUAACUGUGCACAUCUUGACGGUACCUAAUCAGAAAGCCACGGCUAACUACGUG
rnacentral:rRNA from 1 species